rnacentral:misc_RNA from 1 species
GAUGAAGAACGUAGCGAAAUGCGAUACGUAAUGUGAAUUGCAGACACCGUGAAUCAUCGAAUCUUUGAACGCACAUUGCGCCCUGUGGUAUUCCGAUGGGCAUGCCUGUUCGAGCGUCAUUAUCAACCCUCAAGCCCCUUUGGCUUGGUGUUGGAGACUGGCGGGGCGCAUGCGCCCGGAGCCACUCCCAAAUACAAUGACGGCGGCGACGAUGACCCCCGGCACACUGAGCUUCUCACCGAGCACGUGCUGGAAGGGUCUUGUGGCCACGGUCUGCCUCCCCUCUGGGAGAAACGGAUUUCAUCCACCAAGGUUGACCUCGGAUCAGGUAGGGAUACCCGCUGAACUUAAGCAUAUCAAUAAGCGGAGGA